rnacentral:rRNA from 1 species
GUGACUGAGUGGCGGACGGGUGAGUAACGCGUGGGUAACCUGCCUCAUACAGGGGGAUAACAGUUAGAAAUGACUGCUAAUACCGCAUAAGACCACAGCACCGCAUGGUGCAGGGGUAAAAACUCCGGUGGUAUGAGAUGGACCCGCGUCUGAUUAGGUAGUUGGUGGGGUAACGGCCUACCAAGCCGACGAUCAGUAGCCGACCUGAGAGGGUGACCGGCCACAUUGGGACUGAGACACGGCCCAGACUCCUACGGGAGGCAGCAGUGGGGAAUAUUGCACAAUGGGGGAAACCCUGAUGCAGCGACGCCGCGUGAAGGAAGAAGUAUCUCGGUAUGUAAACUUCUAUCAGCAGGGAAGAAAAUGACGGUACCUGACUAAGAAGCCCCGGCUAACUACGUGCCAGCAGCCGCGGUAAUACGUAGGGGGCAAGCGUUAUCCGGAUUUACUGGGUGUAAAGGGAGCGUAGACGGAUGGACAAGUCUGAUGUGAAAGGCUGGGGCUCAACCCCGGGACUGCAUUGGAAACUGCCCGUCUUGAGUGCCGGAGAGGUAAGCGGAAUUCCUAGUGUAGCGGUGAAAUGCGUAGAUAUUAGGAGGAACACCAGUGGCGAAG